GCUUUAAUUGCUGCCUGACGUGCCUCCUCCUUCAGAGACAAGCAGGACCUUGACAUCCUCCAGCGCUGAUGCCAAAAAGGGAAGACAGUUUCAAGCUUGCCUGUUUCUCCAAAGAAAGGGUGCAGGAGGAUCUGCAAAAGUAGUUGGUAAACAUUUAUUUGGAUUCAUAAAACACUGACACUGAGCAGCACUCAAACGACUUGAUAAGAGCUGAUGACUUCUCCCACCCUACAUGUCCCCAGAUCAAUUCUUCUGCUGGUAUGUCCUUCUGAACUGCCCCAGGAUGGAUCCCACCAUAAUCCAGGCUAUCAAACA
rnacentral:lncRNA from 1 species